AUUCCAUGAUGAGGACAUUCCUAAAUGUACUCCUGGAGACGUUCCCAUGCUUCGGGAAUGGUCUCUUCUACCUUUUGACAGAAGCUAGAAAUUUUUGCCCACAGAGC
rfam:Sorghum bicolor cultivar BTx623 chromosome 9, whole genome shotgun sequence.